AUGGGAGGAUGGGAGGGAGCCGGAAUUGGGAUUGAUAUAUAAGAUUGUUUCAAAAAAAUAAAAAGAACAACAACAAAAAAUAAAACCCAAAACUCUUCACCCUGCUGGUGCCAGGCACAGUGAUACAUACUUCAUCUGCCUUGGUCUUUCCUAACUCUCUUGAGUUAGGUAAACACAACCUAGCAGCAUAGGGGCUGGAGCUCCCAUCAUGGAAAUCCAUAUUUCCUAUACUGCCAGUGUGGCAGAAGUGACCACAGGAUGGGCAGAAGUUGUACUGAUGCAUGUAAUGUGUGACGUCUUGUUCAAGGAAAGGAAACAGUGUUUAGGUGGAUCUCAGAGGUUCUUGUGUAGAAGUUCUCAGUGCCUUGUGGAAAGCCAUUUCAACCACAAACUUACCAGGGAGCAGAAAUCCCUACGGGUUAAGAAGCAGAAGCAUUUGUAGGAAAUAGGCCCAAGCAGUGCCCAAGUGGUUCAGCUUAAUUUAGGUACAAAUUGCUCACACUCAUAAGAACUCAGGCUCCAGGGCAUGCAAAGCCCUUUGAGAAAAUAGUGGGGUGUCUUUGUUUUCUUUCCUCCUGUGUGAAUUUUACUCUUGAUCAAACCCAGAACUUCACCCAUGCUAGGCAAGAACACUGCCACUAUGCUACACACACUUCAAGCCCCCUUUCCUGCUUUUUACUUUGAUAUGAAGACCUUCCUAAGUUGCUCAGGAUGGCCUUAAACUUGUGAUCUGUCUGUCUCAUCCUUUAUUUCAGUAGCUGGGAUGACAAGUCAAAACCACUAGGCUCUGCUUUUAUUUUUAUUUAAAGGAAGUUAUCACCAGUAAAUGUAUUUAGUGACUCUCAAACCCCAGUGAGCACUGGAAUCAUGCCUGUUACACACACACCCAUAGCCCAUGCCCAGAAUUUCUUUCCAGAGGUCAGAGUGACCUGGACUUUACGUCUCAGACAAGUGCUCAGAUGGUGCUGCUAGUCUUGGAACCAGCCUCUUGAGAAGCCCUAGCCUAAACAGAGGCCUGUCUCAAUUACAAAUAAACAUUCCUAAUGGGGACAAUUAGCAGUAUUUGUUGGUCAAACAAUUGGGGGAAGAAAGCCCUUUUGAGCAGAUUGGAUUCUCCCCAGAUGUGUAGGGUGAUGCCAGAACCAGGCAACAUUAUUCACAUCAAGCCAAACUGUAGCUGAUUCAAUACGCUCCUUCUUUGCUGAGACAACGUGACCCCAUACAAGAACCAGUGCUGCAAGAGACAGGCUCAGAUUUUUGUUUACCAGAUCUAAACACAGCGCCGGAGAAAACAGUCAGGAAUACAAGCACACUGUCCUCCCGCCCACCCUUCCUUCCUUCCUGUUCAACCAUGCAUUCAAAUGUUCCUCAAGAAUCCUUAGACACUGGAAACUGCACAGCCCCACGCAGGGACUUUCAUUAUCAGUGGUGUAUACCCACCCACCUCUUAACCUGCUUCUGCCUUGCUGCAGUUUGGUCAUGAGACAAGGACAAAAAAAUACAAACCUACAAGCAGAGAUGACUAUGGCACAUGAAUAAGCACCUGUAAAUAAAUAUUGUACACUGUUAGGGCUUAUUGCAUCACUGACAGUUUCUGUGUUAGAACUUCAUCUCCUCAGCAACUGUGUUGAGAGGAGGGGUCUUUAAGAGAAUCUGAAAUCAUUGAUGGAUCAAGGUCUUAUAAAGAAAUAUGGCUGCUGUUUCAAGAUUUGUCAGACAAGGGACCUGGACACCCUCUUGUUUCCUCACAGUUUCUCAUCUACCCUCUGCUAAGACAGUGUAGUGAGAAGGCCCUUCCCAGCUGAAGCUUUGGACUUCCCAGCCUCCAGAACUAUCAGAAACAAAUCUCUAUGAAUAAAAAUAGAUCUCUGUAAAUUUUCCCCAUCUCAAUCCCUCUGUUACAGCUGCACAAAAUAAACCAAAACUCUAUGUAAACAUAUGGGUAAAAUAAUUACCUAUGUGGGUGUUUAUGUGUGUAGCUUAAGUUUCACAAGUGAGCAUCCUCCAUGGUGCAUAAACACAUCUCUUUGCAACCCUCCGAAGAUAGGUCUGUAUUGAUCUCAUGGAUCAUAUUUUCACCAGACCAGGGAGCAAUGGGCAUCCUGAAGAUCUUGAUCUUGGGAUUGGGUUCUGCAUGAAGACCAAGGUCUUGCUAAGUCUUUGUAAUAAGCACACCUCAGGAUUUUUUUUUCUUUUAUAUGACAGAACAGUUUGGCUCCUUGAUUAGCAGCUGUCAAACUCCCUGUGUACCUGUUUUUCCAUAGCAGCUCCCAUGGAAGAAACUCAAAAGUUUCCUGUGAUAUAAAGUCUUGUCAGGAGCUGUAGUUGUCCUUCCAAAGUUCCCAAGUGUGGGGCUGUGAAGGAAAUUGCAGGGUUGGAGGGUAGCAAAAGCAGCUUCAGCCCUACCAUUUUCAGAGACCUGGGGAGGUGUUAAUUACAUGGCCACUUCUUUAGAACUUGAGGUAGAUGAUGAGGUGGAGAUGUACCAGGUAGAGAUGGACAAGUGAGUCAGGGGACUGAGUGUGGCACCCUCAGAAGCUUCCUGCUCCUACUACCAUCACAGCCCAGUCUCAUUAUAAUGAAAGACCACAGGCAGGUAAUAUAAGUACUCAUUAGAACUAGGCCUGAGCAUAAGAGUAGUGUGAGGGAGAGAGGUCUCAGACUCCUGCCCAGAGAGUAAGUGGAGCAAUUUAUACAGCUUAUAGUGUGUAUGCCCUGUCAUGACGGGGGUGGGAAGGACUUCUCCCAAAGCAUACUGAAGAAUGCUAUGAUGAAGUCCAGAGCAGCUGUGCAUGGAGUUUUGUGAAGUGGUUGCAAGUGGGGUCAUCUAAGGAUCUUUUGGUCUGUGACAGCAAGACUGAAGCUUCUCAACACAACGCCAUGCAGGGACAGUGGCCAUGAUAGCUGCAUUCCUUCCCCUAAUUUCAAUCAACUUUCUUGGAGGUGUCUGUGGCUGGCCUGAAGUCUCCUCCAGGUAUAGGUAGCUGGAUCAGAUUCUCCCCUGGAAGCUAGGAAUGUUGAAAGCCACCAACUGACAGUUUGAAGAAUUACUAAGGAGUGGCCAUAUGGUUGACAGCUGCCCAGGGAUCUGGAAAUAGUGGGGCUGAAGCUACCUUUGCUACUGAGUGGUCCUGCAACUCCAUUCACAGCCUCCCUGACUUGGGAACUUUGGAAGGACAGCAAUGGCUCCUGACCAGUGUCCACAUCUGAGAGUUGACUUUCACCCCCUGGAAGCCACCCUGGGGGAAGGGGAUACAGGGAGUCUGACAGCUCUUAAUCAAGGAGCCAAACCACUCUGUCAUAUAAGAGGAAAAAUAUCGAGGUGUGUUUAUUAGGACUUCUUACUGUUUUCAGUGAUUCCUAAUAAUGCCCACCUCUAGCCAGGAGCAUGGGGAGGGCUGGGUCCCCCUGACCUGCCUGAGGGUCUUGAGGUCUUGCUCUGUCACAUGCUCCUGGGCCCAAAGCUACAGAGCAGCCAAACAAACCAGACCCUCAAACUCUGUGAGCCAAAAUAAACCUUGUGUCUCUGUAAGCUGAGUAUCUUAGGGAUUUGCCAUAGUGACAGAAAGCUGGCUGACACACUCCAGUUUCCUUGUGCUUGUCACUUGGCUUCCAUCUUCUGCUGACAUUGUCUCCUCCUAAAUUUCUCUCAUACAGUUCUUGGGAGAAUUCUUAUGAAAUCAAAAAGCAAACCAACUACCACCACCAUAAAAACCACAACUCAUGGCUUAUUUGGUAAAGUAUUUGUUAUGCAAGCAUGAGCACCUGAGGUAGACCCCAGAUUCCACACACAAAAAAGCUGAGCAUGGUGACACAAAUUUGUAAUUCAAGCACUGAAGGGUGGACAGAGAGGCAGGAGAAUUCCUGGGACUUACUGGAUUACCAGCCUAUCCAAUUUGGCAAGUUUCAGGUAAAAAGUGAGAGACCCUGUCUCAAAAGCCAAGGUGGUGGGAUGCCUAAGGGAAUGAGAGCCAAUAUGCCAACAUACACACAGAGGCCUCACACAUCUCUUACAUACACAUACACACACAUGCACAAAAUAUGAAGUUAGUAGGUAGAGUCGGUCACCAGCUACUCUGAUGACAGAAAAAUGGAAAAGUAUGUACAGGACAAAAUGAUAGUGAUGAUGCAAUGAUUUACAGGCACCGUGAUAAAUGUCUUUUCAUUGUGUCCUGAAAAUGAUCCUCAGCCUAGGGCCUGAUUUUACAGAUACACCAAGGCUGAAAGAUGCUGAGCAUCACACGACAGCUAAGAGGCAAGUGUGGCAUCCACAACAUGGCUUUCCUGCCAUUGGAACCACGUGGCUGUGCAGCCUCAAGUGCCCUCCUCUUCUUGCCAGCCCUAGAGUCUCUGGCGGGUUUGUCUUUCCAAGAUUCCUCACAAUGAGCUCACUUCCAUCUCGAGGUUCUUCCUGAGGGUAAUACUGUUGUUGAUACAAAAAAAUGUAAACAAAAGACUGUUUUCAAAAUUAGAACCAGAUCUUAAGGAAGAGAGUGAACCUCUCACGCCAAAGUCUGGUAGGAUCUAACUACAUUAGUGCAGCUGUUCUCUCUAGAUGCUGUGCUGGGGGAACCAGGGUGCUCUGCAGAGGUCAUGACCUGGGCUAUUGUCCAGGCUGCAGAGAAUCCAGGUGCCCUAGAUUUGGCUUGAAGACUUCUUAUACCUGGUACACAUUGGGAAACUUUCACCUGCCUGGCUACAUGUGCCUGGGGCCUACUAAAUCCAAAAUGUGGAACUUGGCCAAAGAAACACUGUGGUAGCCUCCAUAGCUCCUGUACCUGCUGGCACUGCACUGAAUAUGCUCUCAUUUUUUCAUUCAUCCAUCCAUUUAUUUAUCAGAGAGAAGCUAAAGUCAAGUGAGCACUCAAGAUCAAGGCCAGCCUGGGCUACAUAAUAGUUCCAAGCCACUCUAGAUUUCAAGCAUGAAAGACUAUCUCACAAAACAAACCAUGAAAAAUAGGAUUCCAUUAAUGAAGAUUCUGGCCCAUUCUCUUUUCACCUUCCACAUGGAUCCACCUCUCAAAAGUCCUACCAACUCUCAAUAUACACCAGUCACUGAGUUACCAGAACAUGAAAGUUCAAGGGAAAAAAAUAUGUAUCAUUUACCUGCCAUAGGUUUUGAAUAAACGUGGAAAAGGAAACCAACUGGACAACCCAAAGUCCCCAUAGGACUGCACAUAGUGAAGCAGUGUUCAUAACUGUUCAACAACCAGCUCUCUGGGAAAAGCUCUGAGUUUACCACGGUACCAGUGUGUCAAGUUCAAUUAUUUCCACCACAAGAAAUCCAUGCUACCAUGAUGUCACUAGUCAGAGCCCUGGAAAUGUACAGGGGAUCCUCUGGAGCAGAAGCCCAGCUCAGCACCAAAGCCCCUAGCAGUAAAUUGUGGCUAGAAUCCAGCUGGCUUGGUAGAAAAGGAAUGAAGGGUCCCAGGGAAGUUUUGUUGAGAUUGUAGCCCACAAGGCUCCUCCAUACUCAACAUGGAAACAGAGCAGAGGUUUGUGUCCUGACCAAGUCAAAUGGAUCUGGGCAUAGGCUCUAACGUCUCUGUGGGCAGAUACCUUGUUGGGAAGCUGUUCCAAUUGUAGAUAAAUGAUGAGACAAUAGGUAGGAAGCACUCAGCAAGGUUUCUAGCAGGUACUUUGGAGGCCAGUGGAUUUUUAACCACUCACCUAUUUUCUCUCUUCACAGUGUCCAAUCAGAUACCUGAAUCAAGUACCAUUUUAGGAUUCACGGACGAUUUCUAAGCACAAUAAAGCUGAAGAAGCUCUGAUGUCAAAUGCCCACCUGAGUCUGCUAGAAGCACAACAAUCAGGGGCUGAUUUGAAGCCAUCUCCAGGAGGAAUAAGGGAGCUUUCAUCCAGAGGGUAUACUGCUCCAUUUCAUGGUACUCUUCAGCUGUGGGACGCCAGGUCAGAGUUUUACACCCUUCACAAGGAGGGUAAACAGCAGAUGCACGCACGCACGCACGCCCCAUCUGACCACUCUUAGACGAGCAAAGCAACUCUGUCUGCCUAAUGGCCCAGCUCAAUACCAGCUGAAUCUCCUUCCAGGAGAAGCAAGCUCAUCACGUUCUCCCCCAGCCCUCAGGAGGAAUUACAAAUGUACCUGCUCAGCUCCCUUCUCCACUGAAUGACACACCCACCCUUGCCAAAUGCCCAUGCGCCCCUGAAGGCAAUGCAGACUGAGUAACUGUUGGGUGAGGUGCUCUAUAAGUAACAAUUAGACCAUGGAAAUUGCUAGUGUUUGGCAGUCUCUACUUUCUUUCUCUCCCCCACCCCCAGUCUAUUAAUGACAACAGGUGGGGAGUAUUAAAAUCCCCUACUUUGUGAAAAGGUCUACUUUUAUAUUUAACUCUCCAUUUCUGUGCUGCAUGGUGAAAAAUGUUCAGUUAAUUAUGAUGGUUUUCUGACAAACUUAUUAUUAUUAUGGACCAUCUCUCUUUUGGCCUUGGCCAAUAUGAUUGCUGUUAAAACUAUUUUACCUGGCACUAAAACACACUCCAGCUGCCUAUAUUCAGUGUUUAUCACAUCUUUGCUCAUCCAUUAACAUUCUACCCAUGUGGUCCUUUAAAAUGUGGGUCUGUGAAAUGGCACAUAGUUGAAGGUUCUUUCUUGUCUAUUCGCCCAAUCUUCUAAUUGGUGAAUUUAAACCAUUAAUAAAUAAUAUCGUCACCAACUUAGUUGUGUUUUUAAAAGACAUUUUUUAAAAAAAAAUUUUCUCUAUUUCCCAAAAUUUAAUAGUUUUUAAAACUAUUAUUGGCAUUUCAUUUCAAGUCAUGUGUUAGCAUUUUCUAUACCUUGUGGGGUUAUUUUUCAACAGCUACUCCAAUGCUUAUCAUAGAAUAUGCAACAUUUCCCUGUCUGCUUUGAAACAAUAAGGUUCUAUUCUGUAUAUACAAAGCAGCCUUGUGGCUGGACACUGUGGGUAUGGAUUUGCUUCCCACACUCAACACAAAUAUAGGUCCCCAGGAGGAAAAAGUAGUGUUUGAUACUUGCCCAAGUAUUGAGCAUUUCUACUUUGCUUUUUCAACUCUAAAGGACAGAGUCUCCACCAGCAUUCUCCUAUGUAUUCAAGAACUAUCAUCAACAUUGUAGUUGUGCCCAGUCUUCUUGUGACAAAGUCACUCUGCUUUCCUUUUUACUUUGUCAUCAUCCCUGAUGGAUUUUUUUUUUCUAAGCUCUUGGUUGUGUUCUUUUCUCGAAUCACUUUAAACUGUGCUGUUUUUGGGAGAGUUCUCGGGAAAUAUCUAAUCAUUUAAAUAUCUAAUGUGGUUUUCUCCAGCUUGUUUUCAGAACUACAGUUUAAGGAAUGACUUAGUACAGAGUAUUCUGAUAACCACAGGACUUUCACACUUCAUACUUUCAACCUAGCCCUCCCUGUCCUGUGAGAGGCAAGGGCUUCCAGCUUCCACAGCAUCUCCACCUCACAGCUGAGGACAACGAAACCCAAGGAGACUGGGGCUGUUUGGGCUUCUAGCUUAAAAACUGCCUAGGGUAAAUAAAAAUCACAUGUUAUGCCGUGAGAAAAGAGAACAAUGAGGAACAGCAGUGACUCACCCCAAUAGCUGUGUUGGCUGAAUGAGACCUACACAAGGGAGCAGACAGUGAACCCCCAAGAGAUCCCUGGAAAUGCCAAAGUAAAGACUAAAAGAGGCUGUGUUUAAAAGGCAAUUGUGGCUGCAUAUAUCUCAACAAAGCUGGCCUAUGGAUAGCAGUCUUGGUUAUGUAACCAAGGGAAUCUUCUAGAAAUACAGAUGUUCCAUUUUAGGUCAGAAAGACUGAACUUGAGACUGAGACCCUCCUACCCAGGCGAGUUGAACAUCCAUCACCCAACAGCUCUUGCAAAUGAAAAUUGCCCAAAGGUAUUUUAGCUGUGUAUCUCAAAUGAUUAUGUUUUAAAAGAAGUGUUUGUCCUCAGUAUAUUUUUUCUUUUAUUUUUGAGAUUACGAUAUAAUUACACAACUUAUUCCUUCCUUUUCUCCCCUCCAAACCGUCCCAUAUACCCCUUCUUACUACUCUCUUUCAAAUUCAUGGCCUCUUUUUCAUUAAUUAUUGAUACAUGCUUAUCUGAAUAUACAUAAAUACUUAUACAUUCCUAACUACAACAUGUCAGUAUGUAUAAUGCUAUUUUUAUGUACGUAUUUCAGGGCUGACCAUUUGGAUAUUGAAUAAACAAUCGGUGUGCUCUUCCCUAGGGAAAACAAUUUCUCAAGCAUUCCUUCAUUGCUUGUAGUUCUUUGUUUAAGGUUGGAGACCAUGUUUGUUUCUCCAUUUAGUAUAUUUAUUUAGAUGUCAAAUUUAUGCCCAUCUUAAAACAAAGAUCUUUGAUAAUAAGAUUAUUGACCCCAGACAAUUUUCAUAAAAGAAAAUGUAUUUUUUGAAACUUAGGAAGUAUAAAAAUAUUUUUAACUACUUUUAAGGGAAUGGUAAACAAAAUAAAGCAAAAGACUUGUAUGUCCCAAUUACCAGUGACAUUGGUGGAAUGGAAUUUGAACUUUGACACAAUGUGCCAAGGAUUUCAGCCAAGGAUUUUACCAUGCCUUUCAGCUGUAAUUAGUGUUGCCCUGCUGAGGACUGAGAAAAACACACAAGGAGGGAGAGAAUGAAGAUAGGAAGGAGGGAGGAAGCAGAAGAGUGACAGAUCACUUUUAGGGAUUAACUCAGAUGGAAAAUACUACUCUAGGCUCCCCUUGUCCUCCUGGGAGCAGAGUAUGGGUCCUCUGAAAAGCACAUGUUUAACUCCCCAAGAAACUGCACUAUUUCCAUAAAAAGACACUGGUUCUGAAUUCCCACCAACAAAAAAUGAGGUUCUCCUUCCUCUACCACCCUUUUGGGCAUCUAUUGUGUCAAUAGUUUUCCUUCUGACCAUCAUCUCAAUUUAUCUUCCCACUCAUUAAUGGAGAUAACAAUUUGUGGAUAUGAUUAUUGCCUUCCUUCUUUACAACUCUCAAAAUGGGCUAUAGAUCUGAGCAGAGAAUCCUCAGAAGAUGGCUAAUAAACACUUCGAAAUGUAAAUAAAGACUUUGAGACUCCCUCUCACCCGAAUCAGGAUAGUUGUCAUCAAGAAAUCAAAUGACAACAAAUGUUGGUGAGGGUAUAUGGAAAGAAUAUUUACUGAUGGUGAGAGAGCAAACUGGUGCAGCAGCUAUGGAAUUCAAUGUGGAGAAAAGAAAAACCAACCAAACACCACCAAACUUGACAUGGGACUACAUAUGACCUACCUUUUUAAAAUCCUCUUUGAUAGAGUGUUAAAAAUAGCUUGCCUGCUUUAGACUGGGUUGUUUGCUUCCUGCUGUUGAGUUUUAAGAGUUCUUGUUCCAAUUGAAGGUUCACAUUAAAUGUGAUUUGCAGACAUUUUUCAUCCA